UAAUUUAAUAAUGAAAUAUAACGUAUAAUCUUGGGGAUAAGGCCCAUAAGUUUCUACCGGACGACCGUGAAUUGUCCGACUACGUUCUGAAAACAGGGCAUC
rnacentral:ncRNA from 2 species